GACGAACGCUGGCGGCGUGCCUAAUACAUGCAAGUAGAACGCUGAAGAGAGGAGCUUGCUCUUCUUGGAUGAGUUGCGAACGGGUGAGUAACGCGUAGGUAACCUGCCUUGUAGCGGGGGAUAACUAUUGGAAACGAUAGCUAAUACCGCAUAACAAUGGAUGACCCAUGUCAUUUAUUUGAAAGGGGCAAAUGCUCCACUACAAGAUGGACCUGCGUUGUAUUAGCUAGUAGGUGAGGUAACGGCUCACCUAGGCGACGAUACAUAGCCGACCUGAGAGGGUGAUCGGCCACACUGGGACUGAGACACGGCCCAGCCUCCUACGGGAGGCAGCAGUAGGGAAUCUUCGGCAAUGGGGGCAACCCUGACCGAGCAACGCCGCGUGAGUGAAGAAGGUUGUCGGAUCGUAAAGCUCUGUUGUAAGUCAAGAACGAGUGUGAGAGUGGAAAGUUCACAAUGUGACGGUAGCUGACCAGAAAGGGACGGCUAACUACGUG
rnacentral:rRNA from 1 species